AGUGAACGCUGGCGGUAGGCCUAACACAUGCAAGUCGAACGGCAGCACAGUAAGAGCUUGCUCCUACGGUUGGCGAGUGGCGGACGGGUGAGGAAUACAUCGGAAUCUACUUUUUCGUGGGGGAUAACGUAGGGAAACUUACGCUAAUACCGCAUACGACCUACGGGUGAAAGCAGGGGAUCUUCGCACCUUGCGUGACUGCAUGAGCCGAUGUCGGAUUUGCUAGUUGGCGGCGUAAAGUCCCAGCAAGGCGACGCUCCGUAGCUGGUCUGAGAGGAUGAUCAGGCACACUGGAACUGAGACACGGUCCAGACUCCUACGGGAGGCAGCAGUGGGGAAUAUUGCACAAAGGGCGCAAGCCUGACCCAGCAAUACCGCGUGGGUGAAGAAGGCCUUCGGGUUGUAAAGCCCUUUUAUUGGGAAAGAAAAGCAGCAGGUUAAUACCCCGCUGUUCUGACGGUACCCAAAGAAUAAGCACCGGCUAACUUCGUG
rnacentral:rRNA from 1 species